UUAGGAAUUUUGCGCAAUGGGGGCAACCCUGACGCAGCGACGCCGCGUGGAGGAUGAAGGUCUACGGAUCGUAAACUCCUUUUAUAUGGGAAGAAUUAAUGACGGUACCAUAUGAAUAAGUGACUGCUAACUACGUGCCAGAAGCAUCGGUGAUGCGUAGGUCACGAACGUUAUCCGGAUUUAUUGGGCGUAUAGAGACGCGUAGGCGUUUUAGUAAGUCUUUUGUUAAAAACCUGGGCUUAACCCAGGGGGUGCAUUGGAAACUACUAGAAUUGAGACAGGGAGGGGUAGAUGGAAUUCUCGGUGGAGUGGUGAAAUACGUUGAUAUCGAGAGGAACACCAGUGGCGAAGGCGAUCUACUGGCCCUUGUCUGACGCUGAGGCUCGAAAGCGUGGGGAGC
rnacentral:rRNA from 1 species